rnacentral:rRNA from 1 species
UACGGAGGGGGCUAGCGUUGUUCGGAAUUACUGGGCGUAAAGCGCACGUAGGCGGCUUUGCAAGUUAGAGGUGAAAGCCCGGGGCUCAACUCCGGAAUUGCCUUUAAAACUGCAUCGCUAGAAUUGUGGAGAGGUAAGUGGAAUUCCGGGUGUAGAGGUGAAAUUCGUAGAUAUCGGGAGGAACACCAGCGGCGAAGGCGGCGCUCUGGGCCGGUACUGACGCUGAGGAGCGAAAGCGUGGGGAGCGAACAGG